rnacentral:rRNA from 1 species
UACGUAGGGUGCAAGCGUUGUCCGGAAUUAUUGGGCGUAAAGCGCGCGUAGGCGGUUACUUAAGUCGGAUGUGAAAGCCCUCGGCUUAACUGAGGAAGUGCACCCGAAACUGAGUAGCUGGAGUACGAAAGAGGGUCGCGGAAUUCCCGGUGUAGAGGUGAAAUUCGUAGAUAUCGGGAGGAACACCGGUGGCGAAGGCGGCGACCUGGGUCGAGACUGACGCUGAGGCGCGAAAGCGUGGGGAGCGAACAGG